rnacentral:rRNA from 1 species
GUGAGGAAUAUUGGUCAAUGGACGAGAGUCUGAACCAGCCAAGUCGCGUGAAGGAAGACGGUUCUAUGAAUUGUAAACUUCUUUUGUGCAGGAAUAAAGUGGGUUACGUGUAACCUUUUGUAUGUACUGUACGAAUAAGGAUCGACUAACUCCGUGCCAGCAGCCGCGGUAAUACGGAGGAUCCGAGCGUUAUCCGGAUUUAUUGGGUUUAAAGGGUGCGUAGGUGGAUUGAUAAGUCAGCGGUGAAAGUUUGCAGCUUAACUGUAAAAUUGCCGUUGAAACUGUCGGUCUUGAGUGCAAAUGAGGUAGGCGGAAUGUGUUGUGUAGCGGUGAAAUGCUUAGAUAUAACACAGAACUCCGAUUGCGAAGGCAGCUUACUGGGAUGCAACUGACACUGAUGCACGAAAGCGUGGGUAUCAAACAGGAUUAGAUACCCGUGUAGUCC